AGUGAUAUACAACAAUACUAACAGGAGGCCGGACUGCACAUAUAAACACUUUUGCAAUUCACGGCCAAUGUGCCACAAUAAGAUAUCCCUAUCGACAGUUGACCUUUUACCAUCAUUGCGAUCACUACUUUGUCUGAUAAUUAACUUAACUUUCUACCACGUAUAUAUUGUGUGUGUGUGUGUGACCGUCAGCUCCCUGUUGGAUUAUAUCAUCUCUAGGUGUCCAGCAGGUUGUAUUAUCUAUUUAAUAUUUCGAUCACUUAAUAAAUAUUUAUUUAUAUCCUUGUUAACUAAAAUUGUUAUAUAUAUAUAUAUUUUAGUGCGACCCUUGGUAGUUCCUCUAAAGGAAUAUAAAUUAAAUAGGGAACUUCAGUACCUAAAGCAGAUAUACCAGAGCCAGCUAUCCCCCGUUGGUUCCUUAGAAUACUGUCGAUGGGCAUUUAGGCUCACCCUCUAAGUAGCGACGUAACAAUCGUUAUAUCACUUGAUACGGGAAAAACAGGUGGCGAAUAAAAUAGACAACACUGGGUUAGUUUUCCAAGUGGCGUCGAGCCGUUUAAUAAAAAAAUAAUGAAUGUCAAAAAUGAUCGAAACUGCGGUGGCGGUUCGGUUGGGUUGACGGACUUUGAAAAAAAACGAUUUAGGUGCCAUGAAGUUGACUGCUUGGCCGUAUUAUUGUGGUGGAUAUUCGACACUAGGCAUUUAUUGGACUUUACACCACGAUGAUAACGCGUGUGUGUAACGGUCCGGUUUACAGUGGAGCGGUUGCUGCGAAGGAGCUGACAUGACUUCGGGGUGUCAAACGUGUGACAACGCCGUGGCCGUGUCACACUUAAGGAGCGCAAUGGAUUAUUCUUUCGACAUCUUAAUACUGAUGUUCAGCUGCGCUGUUUGCUAUUACGUCUCAGAUGGGUGAACAUACGAGAACUUUAAUAGUGAAACACACGUUGCUCCCUUACUAGUUCCCUUAGCCAUAAUGAGGUUGCAUCAGUUGACAGCCGGUGUAUUAAUUCUGUCAAAUCAUUGUAAGGAAGAGCCGAACCCAAAUGGUUGGGAUAGAGACUAAAGAGUUCCUUAUCAAUCAUUAACAUCAUCAUCAUGAUGUUGUAUAUUAUUUGUUAAAACUAACAUUUUUUAUGUAAAUUGCCUAACAUUAUUGUGCGUAUUGUAUAGAAACUAAUUUCAAUACGAUUAGUCUAACUUUUGUACUUAAAUAGCCGUUUGACCGAUUAUUAUGAGUCACAAAUACUAAUUUUGAUAUUUAAUAUAACGUAUGCUAUUUUUUAAAAUAUUCUAAUGAUAUUUGUUACUCUAACGUUAAACUAAGUACUCAUUUUAAAUUUAAAAUUUUUAUCUAUACUAAAAGUCUAACCAUACAAUUUUGUUUUUUAACCACCAUUAUAAUGGCCCCAGUAAGUAAUUCAUCAUUAGUUCACACAAAAAUCAAAGCCAAAUAUUUAUGUUUAUUUAAUCGUUUAACCUACUCUAUAACAUAAUUAUUACCCCCUCAUAACUGUUUUCUCUAUCUUUAAAAUUAUUCACGUUAAAAUCCAGAUCUCUUAAAUAAAACUUCUUUUCCAGUUGUCAUAAUAAUUUCUAUCAUUACUAUUGUAAUACUGUCAUGUCGCCCCCUUGUCACUAUAGUCAUUAAAAUUUGCAUUUCUAUAAAAUGGAUAAGUAUGGGUAUCUCGGGUUUGAAUAGUAUUAAAUAAAUUAUGUUAAAUAUUUUUUUUAAGUUCUAUAAUUUCUCUUAAUGGUUUAUUAUGCAAUAGAUUGUUUGAGAUUCGAAAACGUAGAUUAAAUUGUACUCAUCUUAUGUCCUAUGUCAUGAAAUAAUACUUUAAAUAAUCCAAAAUUUCUUCUGUUAUUAAAUGCUCUACGUAUACGUUUCACACUACGCGCCAUAUAGUCAAUAUAAUUAUCUACGAAAACGACUCACAUUUAAAAACAAACGAUUUAAUUACACAAAUUCUAUGACUGAUAUUACUUGUAAAAUAUUCUAAACACUCUAAAUUUUUAUUAUAAAUAUAAUUUUGCAAUUUGUCCUUAUUUUAUUUUUUUAUCUUUGUUGAAUAAGUAUUUUUUUAAAGAGUAUAUUUUAUUGAGAGAUCGACACCAGAUAUUUUUUGAAACUUCCUCUGCCCUAGUCAAAACAAGAUUCAAAAAAAUUUUGGUGCGAUGUUCGUUAGAACAAAGGCAUUAAUCUCUAAAACUAGUUACCCAAUUAGAGAAGUUGACAAUGGAUUGUACCAAUAAAUACAUAUUUAAAAUUAAUUUUGAUUUAUUAUUAAAGUAAAAUAUUUAAAAAAAAGUUUAAUGUUUUAAAUAUUAAUUGACGUUUAU